rnacentral:rRNA from 1 species
CCUACGGGUGGCUGCAGUGAGGAAUAUUGGUCAAUGGCCGAGAGGCUGAACCAGCCAAGUCGCGUGAGGGAAGACGGCCCUACGGGUUGUAAACCUCUUUUGUCGGGGAGCAAAGCGAACCACGUGUGGUUCAUUGAGAGUACCCGAAGAAAAAGCAUCGGCUAACUCCGUGCCAGCAGCCGCGGUAAUACGGAGGAUGCGAGCGUUAUCCGGAUUUAUUGGGUUUAAAGGGUGCGCAGGCGGAGGUGCAAGUCAGCGGUCAAAUUGCGGGGCUCAACCGUAAAAUUGCAAUUGAUACUGGCAGUCUUGAGUACAGUUGAGGUAGGCGGAAUUCGUGGUGUAGCGGUGAAAUGCUUAGAUAUCACGAAGAACUCCGAUUGCGAAGGCAGCUUACUAAACUGCCACUGACAUUGAUGCUCGAAAGUGUGGGUAUCAAACAGGAUUAGAUACCCCUGUAGUC